AACCUCCAGCACAAUGUUGAACAGAAGUGGACAUUCUUGUGUUGCUCUUGGUCUUGGAAGAUUAGCCCUGAGCUAACUGCUGCCAAUCCUCCUCUUUUUGCUGAAGAAGACUGGCCCUGAGCCAACAUCUGUGCCCAUCUUCCUCUACUUUGUAUGUGGGACACCUACCACAGCAUGGCUUGCCAAGUGGUGCCACAUCCACACCCGGGAUCCGAAUCAGCAAACCCCAGGCUGCCGAAGCGGAACGUGCGCACUUAACUUCUGCCCCACUGGGCCAACCCCCAGUUGUUUGUAAUAUGCCUUUAUUAUUCAUUGAUAUAUGUGGAAUCUGUAUGGUUGCCAUGUCUCUCGUUACUUAUAUUGGUAAUUUGUGUCUUCUCUCUGUUUUUGCUGAUCAGCCUGGCUAAAAGUUUGUCAAUCCUAUCGAUAUUCUCAAAGAACUAACUUUUGAUUUCAUUGAUUUUUCUCUAUUGUUUUCUAUUUCAUUGAUUUCUGUUCUAAUCUUUAUUAGUAUCAGAACACUUUACUUUGCGCUUAAUUUGCUCUUUGUUUUCAAGCUUCUUAAGGCAGAAGCUUAGGUCUUUGAUUUGAUGCUUUAGUCUUUUCUUCUUUUCUAAUAUGGGCGUCUAGUGUUCUGAGUCCUCCUCCCCGUCAUUCUACCAGCCUAGUACUGCUUGAGCGACUUCCCACAAUUUUGAUUAGGUUGUGCUUCAUUAUUACUCAGUUCAAAAUACUUCCUAAUUUUCUUUUUGAUUUCUUCUGUGAUCCAGGGGUUAUUUAAAAGUGUGUUAUUUUGUUUCCAAAUAUUUGUGAGUUUUCCAGGGAUGUCGCUGUUAUUAAUCUCUAAUGUAAUCCAAUUCAAUUGAGAAAAUAUAUGUCAUGUGACUUGAGCUCUGUACAUUUAGUGAGACUUGUUUGUGAUACAGAAUAUGUUCCAUCUUGUGAAACGUUCUUUGUGCACUUGAACAAAUUUGCAUUCUGCUAUUGUUGGCUGGAGUGUUCUAUAGUGUCAAUUAGGUCAAUUUGUUUGAUAGCACUGUUGAAGUCUUCUAUCUCUGUAAUGAUUUUCUGUCUACUUGUUCUAUCAAUUACUGAGAAAGGAGUAUUUUUGGUCUCUAACUAUAAUUGUGGAUUUGCUCAUUUUUCCUUGUAGUUCUGUCAGUUUUUGCUUUAUGUCAUUAGAAGCUCUGUUAUUAGGUACAAAAAUAUUUAGGAUGGUUAUGUCCUCUUGAUGAGUUGACUCCCUUUUCAUUAUGAAAUAACCUUUUAAAAAAAUACCUAGUAAUAUUCUUUGAACUGAAAUCUGCUUUGCAUGACAUCAAUAUAGCCACUCAAACUUUCUUUUUUAUAGCUUUAUUGAGAUAUAAGUUAAACAGCAUAAAUUCACCCAAGUGUAUAAUUCCACAAUUUUUAGCAUAUUUACAGAGUUAUGCAACCACCACCACAAUCUAAUUUUUAGGACAUUUUCAUUACCCCCAAAAGAAGCUUCAAAUUCAUUAGCAAUUACUCUCAUUCACUCUCUUCCUUUAGCUUUAGGCAACCAUUUUCAACUUUUAUAUAUUUGCCUGUUCUGGACAUUUCGUAUAAAUGGAAUCAAAGAAUGUAUGGUCUUUGUAUUUCGGGUUUUAAAAAUUACUUUUAAUUAAAAUUUUUAUUUUGAAACAAUUGUAGAUUCACAUGCAGUUAUAAGAAAUAGUACAGAGAAAGCACAUCCCCCAAUGGUAACAUUUUGCAAAAUGGUAGUACAGUAUCACAAUCGAGAUAUGCACAUUGAUCCAAUCAAGAUACAGAACAUUUCUAUCACCACAAGGAUCCUUCCUGUUGCCCUUUUAUAGCCGUCCCCAUCUCCCAGCCAUCCCCUCCUUAACUUUUGGCAACCACUUGUCCAUUCUCCAUUUCUAUAAUUUUGUCAUUUCAAGAAUGUUAUAUGAAUGGAAUCAUGCAGUAUGUAAACUUUUGGGAUUGGGUUUUUUCACUCACCAUAAUUCUUUGCAGAUGGCUGUAGGUUGUUGCAUGUAGGAAUAAAUUUGUUCCUUUUUAUGGCUAAGUAAUAUUCCAUGGUGUGGAUGCACUACACUUGUUUAACCAUUC
ensembl:lncRNA